rnacentral:lncRNA from 1 species
CUCAGGGAAGGUUGUGGAGGCUGAGGCUUAUUCCCUAAAAACAAGAAAUGGAAGACACAUAAAGGCCUGUGUGCCCAGGAGCCCUACAGGGCCCUGCUCGGUUACAACAUAAAGGAUGCCUGGUCAUUGUUUUCAUAAUGUGUGAGACAUUGUUUGGUUUGGGGGUAGGAAGAGGGCUCAAAUAGAAAGACCAAGAGUUGCAAAUAAAGACAGAGGUGCCGCUUUCAGUUUAGUUGGGAAACACAGUUUAGUUGGGAGACAGACAGGUGAGAAGUUCCUUACCAGAUACUGGUGGAAAUCAGUGCAGUUGUGUGGGAGAUUCUCAUUUUUUGUUUUGUUCCCUUUCUUUAAUAGGCAGGAGGUGGCUCUUUCUAAAGCUGCCACAGACGACAUCCCAGCUUGAAUGCACAAGCUGUUGUGAAGCUUGAUCCAAGUAAAUUGUCAAGGCAUCGAAGUCUGUGUUCAGCAAAAUCCAGCAGUCCCUGGCACUCUGGGUGGGGUGGGUGGGUGAGAAGCAUUCUCUGAGUGUGGGAAAAAUGCUGUUGGUCAUGGGGAAAUUUCUGACCUGGAAUUAUUAUUUAGGCCUGGAUUCUUAAUCCUGUGCUCUUGGAAAAUUGGUUUAAUUUUUCUUGGCCUCAGUUUCCUCAUCUGGGAAAUAAAAGAACGGAACAAAAUGCCUUUAAGUAAGUUUAAGGUUCAUGAUUUCAUGAACUGCAGGGACAAUUCUUAUCCACAUCUAGGAUGGGAAAAUAUGGGAAGUUUUCAAACAAAUAAGUGGAGAGUCUUGGCUUUCCAUUGAGUAUAAACAUCCAGGCAUAUGCUAUAUGUUUUAUUAGGAAAAAACCAACCAACCAACCAACCAACCAAAAAAAUGAGAAGGAAGAGCUCCCUACUCAGUGAGUCCAGGAGCUACAUCAGCCCCUAACAGGGACUGAGGUCAGAAGGCCAAUCCCAGCUUCCUGUCCAUGAGGAUAUUCUCUCCCUACAAUGGCCAGGAUGGCACCCUGCUUACCUCCAGUUUCAUCUCUGCAUUGAGCUGCUUCCGCAAAUACUGAACUGUACACAUCCCAAGAGAAGAAAGACAAAGGAACAAAAGAAUAAAUAUGAAUUGGGCAUCUACUCAGGUCAGGCAUUGGGUGAGGAUUAUAACUAUGCUCUUUCUUUGCUGUUUUGUUUUGUUUUGUUUUGUUUUUUUGUCUUUCUAGGGCUGCACCUGUAGCAUAUGGAGGUUCCCAGGCUAGGGGUCUAAUCGGAGCUGUUGCCGCCUGCCUACACCACAGCCACAGCAAAGCCAGAUCCAAGCUCUGUCUGUCACCUACACCCCAGCUCACAGCAACGCUGGAUCCUUAACCCACUGAGCGAGGCCUAACCCUAACCCUAACCCUAACCCACUGAGCGAGGCUGGAUGCCUGAACCCGAAACUCAUGGUUCCUAGUUGGAUUCUUUAACCACUG